rnacentral:lncRNA from 11 species
CAUCACCAAUCAAGUGACUAUCUUCAAUCAAUCAAUCCAUCAAUCAAUCUUUAUUUCUCUUUCCACAGCUUCCUUCUUCUACUGCUCCUCCUGCCUGGAACAGAUACUAUCCAAUUUCCAUCCAAAGGCGAUGUGAUGCAGCAAAGUACAAAGCAAAGCCAGCUCCGGCAGCUGCUGAAGCCCAAACCUGGGGAGCUCUGGACGUCUCUCAACGUCCUUCUGGGAUUUCUAGCUCCUGUCCCCACGGCCACGGCCUGCAGGAUCAUCCCAGCGAGCAGAAGAUGCUCAAGGCUUGGCGACACUUUCUGUCAACCGUAGGAGGCCUCUUGCCCCGGAGUCAGCACCGGAUGGGAGCCUGGGCAAGAAGGAGGUCUGACAAGGAAGAGGGUGCCAAGAAGAAGAAGAGCAAAUGGCAGCUGAACCCCAUGGAGCGGAGCGUGGAGAUCCCUAGUGAGUACAUCCAGACACCCACAUUCACUAGGGUUACGAAAACGCCAUAAAAGUGAAAACCUGCAAU